CCUACGGGAGGCAGCAGUGAGGAAUAUUGGUCAAUGAGCGCGAGCCUGAACCAGCCAAGUCGCGUGAGGGAAGACGGUCCUAUGGAUUGUAAACCUCUUUUGUCGGGGAGCAAAAGACGCCACGCGUGGCGUUCCGAGAGUACCCGAAGAACAAGCAUCGGCUAACUCCGUGCCAGCAGCCGCGGUAAUACGGAGGAUGCGAGCGUUAUCCGGAUUUAUUGGGUUUAAAGGGUGCGCAGGCGGAAGAUCAAGUCAGCGGUAAAAUUGAGAGGCUCAACCUCUUCGAGCCGUUGAAACUGGUUUUCUGGAGUGAGUGAGAAGUAUGCGGAAUGCGUGGUGUAGCGGUGAAAUGCAUAGAUAUCACGCAGAACUCCGAUUGCGAAGGCAGCAUACCGGCGCUCAACUGACGCUCAUGCACGAAAGUGUGGGUAUCGAACAGGAUUAGAUACCCUUGUAGUC
rnacentral:rRNA from 1 species